AGAGUUUGAUCAUGGCUCAGGACGAACGCUGGCGGCGUGCCUAAUACAUGCAAGUCGAACGAAACUUUCUUACACCGAAUGCUUGCAUUCACCGUAAGAAGUUGAGUGGCGGACGGGUGAGUAACACGUGGGUAACCUGCCUAAAAGAAGGGGAUAACACUUGGAAACAGGUGCUAAUACCGUAUAUCUCUAAGGAUCGCAUGAUCCUUAGAUGAAAGAUGGUUCUGCUAUCGCUUUUAGAUGGACCCGCGGCGUAUUAACUAGUUGGUGGGGUAACGGCCUACCAAGGUGAUGAUACGUAGCCGAACUGAGAGGUUGAUCGGCCACAUUGGGACUGAGACACGGCCCAAACUCCUACGGGAGGCAGCAGUAGGGAAUCUUCCACAAUGGACGCAAGUCUGAUGGAGCAACGCCGCGUGAGUGAAGAAGGUCUUCGGAUCGUAAAACUCUGUUGUUAGAGAAGAACACGAGUGAGAGUAACUGUUCAUUCGAUGACGGUAUCUAACCAGCAGGUCACGGCUAACUACGUGCCAGCAGCCGCGGUAAUACGUAGGUGGCAAGCGUUGUCCGG
rnacentral:rRNA from 1 species